UACGGAGGGUGCAAGCGUUAUCCGGAUUCACUGGGUUUAAAGGGUGCGUAGGUGGGUCUGUAAGUCCGUGGUGAAAUCUCCGAGCUUAACUUGGAAACUGCCAUGGAUACUAUAGGUCUUGAAUACUGUGGAGGUCAGCGGAAUAUGUCAUGUAGCGGUGAAAUGCUUAGAUAUGACAUAGAACACCAAUUGCGAAGGCAGCUGGCUACACAUAUAUUGACACUGAGGCACGAAAGCGUGGGGAUCAAACAGG
rnacentral:rRNA from 1 species